AUUGAGGAAGUGUUUUGAGAUAAUAUCAUUAAUUUUCCGACGGAGAUUGUAAUUGUUAUCAGUCAGCCAGCAGGAUUGUAAUUCUCCUAUCUUAUAAGAGGGAGUUAGCACACACAUGGACGACAUGCCUGCUUUACACUACAAAUUGUCUUCCCAUCUAAAUUUUUAUUAGUUUCGCUUGGAUUAUAUCGACCACUUCGGAAAACCUGGCAAUCACCGAUAUUUUGCUUCUGUCUUCUUCCUCUUCUUGUUCUUAUCGGUACCAGACAGAUAGCUCUUUAAGAAACUUGGCAGAUGCAGGUUCUCUGUAUCAAAAACCAAUGUAGCAAUAGUUUAAAAGUUCCAACGUCUGGAAAUUGAAGUUUUCCAGCUCCACCUUUUCGCUCCUCGCAGUUCCUGAUCUUACCGCCAAUAUUUCUCUUUGGGUCAUUGUUUUUUAUAAAAAGAAGUUGAACUUGUAUAGCUGAUGGAUUCAAAAGAACCAAACAAGUGCUCUUACGCGGAAAAAAAGAAAGGCUGCAAUGCAACUCAAACGGUGUGCUACGCAAAUCCAAAUAUCUGCUCAUAGAAGGGAAGCGAUGUUGCUAUCGUGACAUAUGAGAAGACAAGAUUCUGCUAAGCACAGCCUUCUUCAAAGCUCGAAUUUUGCUGUCCCAGAGCAAUCAACAUCAUCUUAGGACAAAGUAGGAUUCCUGAAACAAACUGCUCUUGCCAUACGAGAACCUCCUUCCCUUGCGGAAAAAGGUAUCCAAACGAUUUUGCUGAACAAACAUCAGAAGGGAAGAAUUCAUAUCCAAUAUAUAGAAGGAGAAGAACCGGAGAAGCUGUAGAAGUAAGAGGUGUGGAUCUGCAUACCGGAGUUUGAGCAUAACAGAUACCCCAUGAUCAUUGCAUUCAGGAGCUGCUCGAGCCGCCAUUUUAUGUUUUUGAGUCAAUUGUUCAUGUUUUACUUUCUAGUCCUGUAUAGUAGUAUCCAAUUUUUUAGGUGAUGUUAGAGUUUGUAAUAGUCUAGUUAAGUUUGCGAAGUCUUUUGUUAUUGUAUUUCUUAUUUUGUAUUU